rnacentral:rRNA from 1 species
AACGAACGCUGGCGGCAGGCUUAAUACAUGCAAGUCGAACGGGCGCAGCAAUGCGUCAGUGGCAGACGGGUGAGUAACACGUGGGAACCUUCCUCGUUGUACGGAACAACUCAGGGAAACUUGAGCUAAUACCGUAUAAGUCCGAGAGGAGAAAGAUUUAUCGCAAUGAGACGGGCCCGCGUCGGAUUAGGUAGUUGGUGAGGUAACGGCUCACCAAGCCAACGAUCCGUAGCUGACUGAGAGGAUGAUCAGCCACACUGGGACUGAGACACGGCCCAGACUCCUACGGGAGGCAGCAGUAGGGAAUCUUGGACAAUGGGCGCAAGCCUGAUCCAGCCAUGCCGCGUGAGUGAAGAAGGCCU